CUGCUUGAAGCCUUAACAAACCAACCAACAAAACAAAACAGCUGUUUUAUUUUUUAUGACUCAAAGGCAGAAAGGGAUGUCAAGUCUGGCUGGACAGCAAGUGGAUGUGGUGGCAGUAGGGGUGUGGUUGAUAGGGGAGAGUGGAAGGCAGGGGAUGUGGGGAGAGAAGAGAAAAAGACACCUUUAAAAGAAUAAUUUUAGGGGUAAGAAAAUUUAGCUAUAGGUGUCAAGGAGAGUCCAAUUUCCUGAGACUUCUAAAGUCUUGCUAAUUGCUUCCUUCUUGCAAAACCUGGUCUCAUGUGUUAUCUGUCAGUUGUGCUUUCUUAUGCAAUCCACAUUACACAGUGCCCAAUGUGGACAUGGGUGUGUUGUACAAACACAUCUUUGUAGUAACACCACAACGAAGAAUUCUGCAAUAAGUGUAUGAAUUUUCUAGGGCUACCGUAAUGAAAUACCACAGACUGACUGCUUUAAACAACAGAAGUAUAUUUUCUCACAGUUCUGGAGGUUAGAAGUUCAAGAUCAAGAUGUGGACUGGUUUGGUUUUUCCUGAGACCUCUCUCCUUGUCUUUCAGGAGUUUAUUUUCAUAGGUGGGAAGUCCUCAAAGGAUUUUCAAUAUUAUCAGAAGCUACUGAUGACAUGGAAACAGGUGUAAUGGCUGAACGUGGCUGGAAGUAAUAACCGUGGUCAAGGUGAACAGGUCCUCUUCCUUGAGAACUGUUAAGAAGUAAAGAAAACUGCAAAAAGAACUACAGAUUCCUGAAAUCAAAGGAACAAAAACAAUGGGAGAAGGCAACAGAAGCAAAUAAAUGAGUUUCUCCAGAGCUGUGCAAGGUUGACCAGGACUCCCCUCCCUGCAGCCUGGUGGGAGUUGCUAUUUCUUUUUGCAUCAUGGGCCUGGCCUCAUGCCCACUCCCUAAGCCUCAACCCUGUCCCAGAAUGCUGUUCUCUGGGGCCUCGAAACAUACAUGGAUGUGUUAAAGCCUUGGGCGGCUUGGCACUCCACAGCCCUCGCUCCCAGUACCGUCUCUGGGUUACAAUGCAGGGAAAGGCACUAUCAGAUUGUGCCUCCACCAGCCCCUGUUGUGAGGUUUAGGCCCAAGAUGAGAAGGGAAGGCCCCUGUUUCUGGACUGAAAAGGAAAUGUAAAUCUCUCACAGGCCACGUGCCAGAAGCUGCCGGGAGACCAUUUCCCUGUUAGUAAACAGGGCCUCCUGGGCCAUCUUUCUCUUCUUUAAUAACCUGUGGGGCACCUAUUGAUUGCACAUGCUGGUCCCUCAUAAAUUAUAACAGGGAUGCCUCCUAGUUGCUCUGGAGCUGCGUGGAUGGGAAAAUUGGCUCACUAAUACCUCAUGCUCAUGGAGCACGGUGUAUUGCGCCACAUAAACAUGAAGAAUAUGUAUCAUCAGGCACCGAGAACGCACAGGAAACAACUCUAGCGGCUGCAGAGGCUUCUGGGCAUGCUGCAGACUUUAAUUAGCCAGUUUCUUCCACUGGUACUGGAGAGUGGCAGAAAUGCUGAUUACAUGCCUCCUCCUGCAGAAUGCUCUGCUUUCGGUUGUGGGGGGGGGGGUCAAGCUCUGGUGGGUGGGUGAUGGGUCUGCUCUCAUCCCUGCCCCCUCACCAGGAUGGGAGCUGGCACAUAGGAGGGAAUAUUCAUCUUUUGUGCUCGAGCGCCUAGUUAGGAAUCAAGACACAUCUACACUCACUGCCACCUACAGCUGUAUGAUCUUGGGUAAAUCCCUUAAUCCCUCUGAAUCUGCAUCCCAUCUGGGAAGUGGAGAAAGUAAUAUACCUAGUUGGUUGUGAGGUUUGAGGGAAAUAAGGCUGACCUGGUGCCCUGUAUGUUCUCAGUAAAUACUUGGUGAAACUGAAUUCGAAUCAGCUAAAGGUCACGGUGGCAGGUAUAGGUCUGAAACGAUUUCCUUCUCCCGCCUCCAGAAUCUGGCAUCCACCACUACCUGUAGCCAACACCUGGCUCUUUAAGUAAGAAGCGAGGCCACGGAACUCAACAGCUUGACUGGAAAUGGUUCUCACAUCCCUCUGUCUUCCUGUGCCCCUCCUGACUUGGCCUCUGAAUUUAAAAUUCACUUCACAGGGCACCUUUCGAAAGUGGACAGUAAACAGAAAAACAUGCCAGCAUGGCUUACCAUUCUACGAAGAAAGCUUGGCAUCUACACUCUCACACUUAACAGCAACUUCAGUGUCUCUAACUUGAAGCAGGCCCUGGGCAAUUGGGUCCACUUGUGCUUUUCCAAAGUGAGUAACCUUGUCCCUGCAGCUCCACUUUUGCCAUUGCAUGAAAAUGGACUGGAAGGACAGUGUGUGUGUACCCAUGUUUUCCUGCCACUUCCCUUGGUCCUAGAAAUGAUCUCUGCUGCUCUGGAAUACUGUGUAGGGGGUUGAAUGGCGGUCCCCAAGAAGAUAAUCCACAUCCAGAACCCGUGCAUGUGACCUUCCUUGGAAAAAGGGUUCGUACAGAUGCAAUUAAAUGAAGGAUCUUGAGAUGAGAUCAUCCUGGAUUCCCGGGUGGACCCUGACCCAAUGCAAAGUGUCCCUAUACAGUCAGGAGGAGAAAACACAGACACAGAGAAGUCCAUAUGGAGAUGCAAGCAGAGAGCUGCAGCCACAGGCCAAGGAGUCGCUGGGCCACCAGAAGCUGAAAGAGGCAAGCCAGGAUUAUUCUCUAGAGCCUUGGGAGGGAGUGUGGCCUGGCCAACAGUGUCUUCAGACCUUUGGCCUCCAGAACUAUGAGAGACUACAUUUCUCUUGUGUUAAGCCACUUAGUUUGUGGCAAUUUGUGACAGCAGCUGUAGGAAACCGCUGCGGACGUGCUCCCAAGGAUGGACCCCGGCUCGGGUACUUCUGUCACAGGAGAUGCUCCUUCUCUCUCUGGGACGAUUUGCCAGAGCACCAGUCUCAGUGGCCAGGUGGGCAACCAGUUCUUGGGAAGUGCACUCAGAUGGAGCUGUGGCUGAGGAUCCACACUGGAGAAAGCAUGCUGGGAUGCUUCCAGCAUCUCUUGGCGGCCAAGGCAUUGCAGAAAUGGCCUAACUUUGGAACUAGACAGACUUUGGUUUAAAACUCAACUCCACUGUGAGCUUUGUGACUCCAGAUGAACUACUUGCCCUCUCUGUGUUCCAACUUCCUCAUCUAUAAAAUGAGGAUAAUAGCUCCUACCUUAUAGGCAGGAGCAGAUGCGGGAUGAAGCCUGCGUAUUUUUAGAGACACGUUUAAAGAAGAAGAAAGCUUCAAAUCCAAAAUUAGGAGUGGGGCCUUGUGCUAGGGAGGGGCUCCAAGGCUUACACUAACCCGCCUCAGCUUCCAGGGUGUUCCGAGGGUUACAGAUAAAAGCAUGAAGCCCUAGGCAGCCCUGGCUCCUAGCGAGUGCUUUGCAAGAGGUAAAGCUAUCUGGAUGAAGAAUCCAACACUGAAGUGUCUACUGAAAGGCACACAGAUAUUUUUGUAACACACAGAAAAAUGUAUGAUAGAAUACAUUCCAUGGCGGGUUGCUAGUUGAUGGCUUGACGUCCGUUUUUCCUUUCUUUUCUGUAACAGAAAACUGACAUUUUGGGGCAUGCCCAUGUGCUCAGCUAACACCUAGCUUUCCAAGCAUCUCUUGCAAAGAGGUGUGGCCAGGAGACAAAGCUCUGGCCCAAGAAGUAUAAGCAAAUAGAGGUAAGACACUUCCAUACAAUCUUCUUAAGGGAGCGUGUUCGCAACUGAAUUGUGCCUCCCUCAACCACCAUUCAUACGUUGAAAUCUUAAUCCUUAGUAUCUAAGACGAUGACCUUAUUUGGAAAUAGGGUAAUUGCAGGUAUAAUUAGUUAAGAUGAGGUCAUUAGGGUGGGCCAUAGUACAACAUGAAUGGUGUCCUUAUAAAAAGGGGAUAUUUGAACCGAGAACCACACGAGGCAGAGAAUGCAGUGAUGCUUGUGCAAAACUAAGGAACAUCAAGAAUUGUGAGCAGAUUCCCUGUAGAAAGGGGAGAGGCAUGGAAUAGAUUUGGCCUUAUAGUCCUCAGAAAGAAUCAGCCCUGCUGACAACUUAAUUGCAGACAUUUGGCUUGCAGAACCAUGAGACAAUAAGUACAUUUCUGUUGUAUAAGCCACUCAGUUUGCAGUAGGUUGUUACAGCAGCCCCAGCAAACUAACACAGACAGAUAUGUCCUCCUUCACCAAGCUUCCAUAUUGCUGCAUGGAAGGCAGAUAAGAGGGCUGGUCCUCCAUUAGCCAUCUUGGUCCAUGAGGAUGAGGGAGAGCAGAGAGCUAAAUGCAGUCUGGGACCCUAAAACUUCAAGAAACUUUCAGACUAGCCCUGUUCUGCCUACCUUUGGGCUUUUUUUCCUGAAAAAUAAGUAAUCUUGAAGGUUUUGUUGUUGUUAUGGUUUGUUUUCUGAAACGUAGCUGAACAUAAUCCUAACUGAUACAUAGUUUUGAUAAAUUAGUGAUUCUCUGGGAGAGGAUGAAGAUUGGAAUAUCUGGUAGGGGAAUUUUAGCUUUACCUGUAAUGUUUCAAUUUUGAUAGCAGAAUGUAUUCAUGUAUUAUUUUCUAAUUAAACAUUUUAUAAUAAAUAAGUUACAAAGAAAAAAAAGAGGGAUGACAACAUACAGAUUAAGA